GAUGAACGCUGGCGGCGUGCCUAAUACAUGCAAGUCGAGCGAACAGAUGAGAAGCUUGCUUCUCUGAUGUUAGCGGCGGACGGGUGAGUAACACGUGGGUAACCUACCUAUAAGACUGGGAUAACUCCGGGAAACCGGGGCUAAUACCGGAUAAUAUUUUGAACCGCAUGGUUUAAUAGUGAAAGACGGUUUCGGCUGUCACUUAUAGAUGGACCCGCGCCGUAUUAGCUAGUUGGUAAGGUAACGGCUUACCAAGGCGACGAUACGUAGCCGACCUGAGAGGGUGAUCGGCCACACUGGAACUGAGACACGGUCCAGACUCCUACGGGAGGCAGCAGUAGGGAAUCUUCCGCAAUGGGCGAAAGCCUGACGGAGCAACGCCGCGUGAGUGAUGAAGGUCUUCGGAUCGUAAAACUCUGUUGUUAGGGAAGAACAAAUUUGUUAGUAACUGAACAAGUCUUGACGGUACCUAACCAGAAAGCCACGGCUAACUACAUGCCAGCCGCCGCCGUAA
rnacentral:rRNA from 1 species